AGGUUCUAGAAAAGCGGCGGCAGCGGCUCUAGCGGCAGUAGCAGCAGCGCCGGCUCCCGUGUGGAGGUGCUCUUAGCGGUGUUGUUUCUCGAGCAGCAGCAGCUCUCACUACAGCGCCAGGACGAGUCCGGUUCGUGUUCGUCCGCGGAGAUCUCUCUCAUCUCGCUCGGCUGCGGGAAAUCGGGCUGAGGCGACUGAGUCCGCGAUGGAGAAAACUUUAGAAACUGUUCCUUUGGAGAGGAAAAAGAGAGAAAAGGAACAGUUCCGUAAACUUUUUAUUGGUGGCUUGAGCUUUGAAACCACAGAAGAAAGUUUGAGGAACUACUACGAGCAAUGGGGGAAACUUACAGACUGUGUGGUCAUGAGAGAUCCUGCAAGCAAAAGAUCAAGAGGAUUUGGUUUUGUAACUUUUUCGUCCAUGGCUGAGGUUGACGCUGCCAUGGCUGCAAGACCUCAUUCAAUUGAUGGGAGAGUGGUUGAGCCAAAACGUGCUGUUGCAAGAGAGGAAUCUGGAAAGCCAGGGGCUCACGUAACUGUGAAGAAGCUGUUUGUUGGUGGAAUUAAAGAAGAUACUGAGGAACAUCAUCUUAGAGAUUACUUCGAAGAGUAUGGAAAGAUUGAUACCAUUGAGAUAAUUACUGAUAGGCAGUCUGGAAAGAAAAGAGGCUUUGGAUUUGUUACCUUUGAUGAUCAUGAUCCCGUGGAUAAGAUUGUGUUGCAGAAAUAUCAUACCAUCAAUGGUCAUAAUGCAGAAGUAAGAAAGGCUCUGUCUAGACAAGAAAUGCAGGAAGUCCAGAGUUCUAGAAGUGGAAGAGGAGGCAACUUCGGUUUUGGAGAUUCUCGUGGUGGUGGUGGAAAUUUUGGACCAGGCCCGGGAAGUAACUUUAGAGGAGGAUCUGAUGGAUAUGGAAGUGGUCGCGGAUUUGGGGAUGGCUAUAAUGGGUAUGGAGGAGGACCUGGAGGUGGCAAUUUUGGAGGUAGCCCUGGUUAUGGAGGAGGAAGAGGAGGAUAUGGUGGUGGAGGACCUGGAUAUGGCAACCAGGGUGGGGGCUACGGAGGUGGUUAUGACAACUAUGGAGGAGGAAAUUACGGAAGUGGAAAUUACAAUGAUUUUGGAAAUUAUAACCAGCAACCUUCUAACUAUGGUCCAAUGAAGAGUGGAAACUUUGGUGGUAGCAGGAACAUGGGGGGACCAUAUGGUGGAGGAAACUAUGGUCCUGGAGGCAGUGGAGGAAGUGGGGGUUAUGGAGGGAGAAGCCGAUAUUGAGCUUCUUCCUAUUUGCCAUGGCAUUGAUAUGAACCAUGGACAAGUAUAUUCUGCUGCCACAAAGACUGUAAAGUGCUUCAUUUCAACAGCUGAGGCGCAAGCCAAGUGAUCAUUAAUAAAGCUUUUCUUGGUUCCUUCAGUGGUGUUGGUAGUAAAAUGGAAGGUGUCUUGCUGCAGGUAACUAAUGAAGAAGUGGUCAACCACAGAGUCUUCAAGAAAUAAGAAAUACUGUACCAUCUGAAAGUAGUUCUUGUUGGUGCCUUCAUUUAAAAAAAAAGCACUUUAAGAUUAAAGGGAAAUGUUUUCUGAUAAAAUACAUCAUUUAGUACAGGUUCUUAAUAUAAAACCAUUACAAAUUGAGUACUGUUUGUAAAAGAGUAACAUCAAGUAAGCUAGAGAGAGAAAUGUAUCAUGUUUUAAAUUAGGUUUUGUGAGUAGACAGAUUAAAAUUCUAUUUUAAAUAUAAAGUUUAUAAAAUAAACAGUUUUGUAUUCAAAUACUUGGUGUAAUGUUUACACAUAAAAUGUGUGAAUCUUGUUCUAUCAACUUACAGUUGUCUAAAAGAUUGCCAUCCCCUAGAGUUUUAAAGCAGUUU